ensembl:lncRNA
GAAAAUUGGACUUGAUCAUAACCCAGCGGCGCUGGGUUGUGAACGCGGACGUGAAGGAGAGCACGCACGUCACGUUAAAAUCGUACGUCUCCAGUGCAAGAAGCCGCCAUUUUCUCAGCGUGAAAGAAGCGAGAAGCGAGUGAAAGACAUUACGACUUGUUAAGCUCGUGUCUUCAUUGUCCCCGCACUGAGAGUUAAAGACACCUGCUCUUGUGAGGAGUCACGGACUGUGUGAGGAGGAGGCGUGUUCUCAGCUUCUUCUGAAGAGAGGGACAGACGGGUUUAAGAUGUUGAAAGCCAGAGACAUAGGAGAGCAUCAUUCUUUUGAGAUUUAUAACUCAAGCUAACUUUGGAGUUAAGGACACAGAAGCCUGCUUGUGUGAGGAGGAGGCGGUGUUCUCGGCUUCUGAAGAGAGGGAAAGAUAAUUUAAGGCAAGUGAACUUCAUAAUUUCAUAAUAUCAGUUAUCAGUUGUUUUCUUUUACUAAGAGUAAAAUAAUGUUUGUUUUUUGUUUUUGUAGCUGUUGAAAGCCAGAGACAUAGGUGAGCGUCAUUCUUUUGAGAUUUAUAACUCAAACCAACUUUGGAGUUGUCUGAUUUGGAGAGUCAUCAUUCUUGGUCUUCCCUCUUAAGGGAAUAGUUCACACAAAAAAUCAUUUAGUUGCCCUCAUGUCAUUCCAAACCUAUACGACUUUUGUCUGUCUUUAGAAUACAAAUGAAUAUAUUUAGAAUUUUCAGAGUUAUUGUAGAAGUAAUCCAUUCCGAUAUUUAUAUAUGAUUAAAUCUUAAAUUAUAUGAUAGCGAACAUGUCUGUUCAGAAGAAAAUAUUGGUCUCCCAGACUAGCAAUGGAGGACAAAAAUUAAUAGAAUAUUAAAUAUAUUUAUUUGUGUUCCAAAAAUUAGCAGAGUUUGUAUGGGUCUGGAACAACAUGGGGAGAGUAAAUUAUGACCAUUUUCAUUUUUUGGUGGACUAACCCUUUGAAGAGCAGCCCUCAACGUACAUGAACAUUUGUGAGGCCACUGAUGAAGAACAGGCGGUGACUGGGAUGAAUGCUGGUCAGAGAAGAGAAUGUCCUUUCCCCUAAACUGAUGAAGCAGUGGUUUUAAAGGAGGACGCUGCCCUGGGUGAUGUAGAAGAUGUCACAUGUGCUGAUGGGGGUUCCUCAUGACUACAUCAAUUAUGCUGAAGAGAUCAUGAAAGUUGACAGUGAUGCAUGAUCUGUAUUCAUGGACUGUGAAACAAACUGUAAGUGUAUAAUUUGUAAAAACAAAAUGUUAAGUGCUUGUUCUGUGUUGUUUAGUAAAAGAGUUUACACUCUGUCAUUCAUACACAUGCUCACAUUCUUUCACACACACGCGCGCAUCUGUUAAAUGUUAUAAUAUCAGUGUUAAUGUUGUGGUUUAUUUGUGUACUGUAAUGCUAGAAUAGUUGGUAAAGAACUUAACUAAUUGUACAUUUAUUGUAUAAUAGUGUGUUCGUAUAUUUUUAUACAAUAUAUAAAAUUUACCAAAGUCCAAUUUGAUCUUAAAAGUUAUAUUCAACAAAUGUUCAAUGCUUUAU